CGCCCGUCGCUCCUACCGAUUGGAUGUGCUGGUGAAAUGUUGGGAUUGGCGGCAUCGAGCGGUUCGCUGCUUCUUGCUGCCGAGAACUUCAUUAAACCCUCCCAUCUAGAGGAAGGAGAAGUCGUAACAAGGUUUCC
rnacentral:rRNA from 1 species